rnacentral:rRNA from 1 species
UUGAACGCUGGCGGCAGGCCUAACACAUGCAAGUCGAGCGGUAGCACAGAGAGCUUGCUCUCGGGUGACGAGCGGCGGACGGGUGAGUAAUGUCUGGGAAACUGCCUGAUGGAGGGGGAUAACUACUGGAAACGGUAGCUAAUACCGCAUAACGUCGCAAGACCAAAGUGGGGGACCUUCGGGCCUCAUGCCAUCAGAUGUGCCCAGAUGGGAUUAGCUAGUAGGUGGGGUAACGGCUCACCUAGGCGACGAUCCCUAGCUGGUCUGAGAGGAUGACCAGCCACACUGGAACUGAGACACGGUCCAGACUCCUACGGGAGGCAGCAGUGGGGGAUAUUGCACAAUGGGCGCAAGCCUGAUGCAGCCAUGCCGCGUGUGUGAAGAAGGCCUUCGGGUUGUAAAGCACUUUCAGCGGGGAGGAAGGCGGUGAGGUUAAUAACCUCAUCGAUUGACGUUACCCGCAGAAGAAGCACCGGCUAACUCCGUGCCAGCAGCCGCGGUAAUACGGAGGGUGCAAGCGUUAAUCGGAAUUACUGGGCGUAAAGCGCACGCAGGCGGUCUGUCAAGUCGGAUGUGAAAUCCCCGGGCUCAACCUGGGAACUGCAUUCGAAACUGGCAGGCUAGAGUCUUGUAGAGGGGGGUAGAAUUCCAGGUGUAGCGGUGAAAUGCGUAGAGAUCUGGAGGAAUACCGGUGGCGAAGGCGGCCCCCUGGACAAAGACUGACGCUCAGGUGCGAAAGCGUGGGGAGCAAACAGGAUUAGAUACCCUGGUAGUCCACGCCGUAAACGAUGUCGAUUUGGAGGUUGUGCCCUUGAGGCGUGGCUUCCGGAGCUAACGCGUUAAAUCGACCGCCUGGGGAGUACGGCCGCAAGGUUAAAACUCAAAUGAAUUGACGGGGGCCCGCACAAGCGGUGGAGCAUGUGGUUUAAUUCGAUGCAACGCGAAGAACCUUACCUGGUCUUGACAUCCACAGAACUUUCCAGAGAUGGAUUGGUGCCUUCGGGAACUGUGAGACAGGUGCUGCAUGGCUGUCGUCAGCUCGUGUUGUGAAAUGUUGGGUUAAGUCCCGCAACGAGCGCAACCCUUAUCCUUUGUUGCCAGCGGUUAGGCCGGGAACUCAAAGGAGACUGCCAGUGAUAAACUGGAGGAAGGUGGGGAUGACGUCAAGUCAUCAUGGCCCUUACGACCAGGGCUACACACGUGCUACAAUGGCAUAUACAAAGAGAAGCGACCUCGCGAGAGCAAGCGGACCUCAUAAAGUAUGUCGUAGUCCGGAUUGGAGUCUGCAACUCGACUCCAUGAAGUCGGAAUCGCUAGUAAUCGUAGAUCAGAAUGCUACGGUGAAUACGUUCCCGGGCCUUGUACACACCGCCCGUCACACCAUGGGAGUGGGUUGCAAAAGAAGUAGGUAGCUUAACCUUCGGGAGGGCGCUUACCACUUUGUGAUUCAUGACUGGGGUG